rnacentral:rRNA from 1 species
GGUUCGGCCUAAGUUCCUGGAACAGGACGUCAUAGAGGGUGAGAAUCCCGUAUGUGGCCGAGGCCCGCGCCUAUGUAAAGCUCUUUCAACGAGUCGAGUUGUUUGGGAAUGCAGCUCAAAAUGGGUGGUAAAUUUCAUCUAAAGCUAAAUAUGGGCCAGAGACCGAUAGCGCACAAGUAGAGUGAUCGAAAGAUGAAAAGCACUUGGAAAGAGAGUUAAACAGUACGUGAAAUUGUUGAAAGGGAAGCGCUUGCAACCAGACUUGGGCGCUGCCGAUCACCUUGAGUUUUCUCGAGUGCACUCGACAGCGCACAGGCCAGCAUCGGUUCGGGUGGCUGGAUAAAGGCCGUAGGAAUGUGGCUCUCUUCGGGGAGUGUUAUAGCCUACGGUGCCAUGCAGCCCAGCCGGACCGAGGACCGCGCCUUCGGGCUAGGAUGCUGGCGUAAUGGUUGUAAGCGACCCGUCUUGAAACACGGACCAAGGAGUCUAACAUCUAUGCGAGUGUUUGGGUGGUAAACCCAUACGCGGAAUGAAAGUGAACGUAGGUGAGAACCCCUUUGGGGCGCAUCAUCGACCGAUCCUGAUGUCUUCGGAUGGAUUUGAGUAAGAGCAUAGCUGUUGGGACCCGAAAGAUGGUGAACUAUGCCUGAAUAGGGUGAAGCCAGAGGAAACUCUGGUGGAGGCUCGCAGCGGUUCUGACGUGCAAAUCGAUCGUCAAAU